rnacentral:rRNA from 1 species
GACGAACGCUGGCGGCGUGCUUAACACAUGCAAGUCGAGCGGUAAGGCCCCUUCGGGGGUACACGAGCGGCGAACGGGUGAGUAACACGUAAGCAAUCUGCCCUUCACUUUGGGAUAACCACCGGAAACGGUGGCUAAUACCGGAUAUGACCAGCCCCUGCAUGGGGUGCUGGUGGAAAGUUCUGGCGGUGGAGGAUGAGCUCGCGGCCUAUCAGCUUGUUGGUGGGGUAAUGGCCUACCAAGGCGACGACGGGUAGCCGGCCUGAGAGGGUGACCGGCCACACUGGGACUGAGACACGGCCCAGACUCCUACGGGAGGCAGCAGUGGGGAAUAUUGGACAAUGGGCGAAAGCCUGAUCCAGCAACGCCGCGUGAUGGAUGACGGCCUUCGGGUUGUAAACCUCUUUCAGCAGGGACGAAGCGCAAGUGACGGUACCUGCAGAAGAAGCACCGGCCAACUACGUGCCAGCCGCCGCCGUAAAAC